UCCUACGGGAGGCAGCAGUAGGGAAUAUUGGACAAUGGGGGCAACCCUGAUCCAGCCAUGCCGCGUGCGGGAAGAAGGCCUUCGGGUUGUAAACCGCUUUUGUCCGGAAAGAAAAGGCAUCUCCUAAUACGGGAUGUUCUUGACGGUACUGGAAGAAUAAGCACCGGCUAACUACGUGCCAGCACCCGCGGUAAUA
rnacentral:rRNA from 1 species